GACGAACGCUGGCGGCGUGCUUAACACAUGCAAGUCGAACGGAAAGGCCCUGCUUUUGUGGGGUGCUCGAGUGGCGAACGCGUGAGUAACACGUGAGUAACCUGCCCUUGACUUUGGGAUAACUUCAGGGAACUGGGGCUAUUACCGGAUAUGAGAUCCUGCUGCAUAGUGGGGGUUGGAGAGUUUCGGCGGUUGGGGAUGUACUGGCGGCUUAGCAGCUUGUUGGUGGGGUAGUGGCUUACCAAGGCGUGGACGGGUAGCCGGCCUGAGAGGGUGACCGGCCACAUUGGGACUGAGAUACGGCCCAGACGCCUACGGGAGGCAGCAGUGGGGGAUAGUGCACGAUGGGCGGAAGCCGGAUGCAGCAACGCCGGGUGCGGGAUGACGGCCGUUGGGUUGUAAACCUCGUGAGCCUGGGACGAAGCGUGAGUGACGGUAAUGGGUAAAGAAGCACCGGCUAACUACGUG
rnacentral:rRNA from 1 species